rnacentral:tRNA from 1 species
GGGCCCGUGAUGUAAUGGCAGCAUACUCGCCUUUUAAGCGAUGAAGCGGGGGUUCAAGCCCCUCCGGGCCCGCCA